rnacentral:rRNA from 1 species
AUUGAACGCUGGCGGCAGGCCUAACACAUGCACGUCGAGCGAGCGGCGGACGGGUGAGUAAUGUAUGGGGACUGACCGAUAGAGGGGGAUAACUACUGGAACAGGUAGCUAAUACCACAUACUAUCGGAUAACCCAUAUGGGAUUAGCUAGUAGGUGAGGUAAUGGCUCACCUAGGCGACGAGCCCUAGCUGGUCUGCGAGGAUGAGCAGCAACACUGGGACUGAGAAACGGCCCAUACUCCGACGGAGGCAGCAGUGGGGAAUAGUGCACAAUGGGCGCAUGCCUGAUGCAGCCAUGCCGCGUGUAGGAAGAAGGCCCUAGGGUUGUAAAGUACUUUCAGUCGGGAGGUGUUACCGACAGAAGAAGCACCGGCUAACUCCGGGCCAGCAGCCGCGGUAAUAC